UGUGUUAAAAAAUUCACUCGCAUAACAUACUAACUAGGAUUUAACUCGCGGUUUACCACGGGCAAUCAGUUUAUUUGGUUCUUAUAUAUACUAAAUAUUUGAAUAAAUUUGAUAUCCUAAACUUAUAAAUAUAAAUAUUUGAAUUAAACAUAACUAAAUAAUAAUUGAGAUUUUUUUUG
rnacentral:sRNA from 1 species